UAUUGGUCAAUGGGCGCAAGCCUGAACCAGCCAAGUCGCGUGAGGGAAGACGGUCCUAUGGAUUGUACACCUCUUUUGUCGGGGAGCAAAGCGCGGUACGAGUACCGUGAAGGAGAGUACCCGAAGAAAAAGCAUCCGCUAACCCCGUGCCAGCAGCCGCGGUAAUACGGAGGAUGCGAGCGUUAUCCGGAUUUAUUGGGUUUAAAGGGUGCGUAGGCGGAUUUGGAAGUCAGCGGUAAAAAUGCGGUGCUCAACGCCGUAUCGCCGUUGAAACUGCGGGUCUUGAGUGAGCGAGAAGUAUGCGGAAUGCGUGGUGUAGCGGUGAAAUGCAUAGAUAUCACGCAGAACUCCGAUUGCGAAGGCAGCAUACCGGCGCUCAACUGACGCUGAGGCACGAAAGCGUGGGGAUCG
rnacentral:rRNA from 1 species